UGAGUUCCUGUCCUGACUUCCUUCAGUGAUGAACAGCAAUGCUGAAGUCCGGCAACGUGUCCAUCCUCAGAGAAGGAAAUCAUGUUUGUAGACGCAUCAGUAUGUGAUGGCUUGGAGCACAGUGGGCAUCUAGUGACCGAAGAAACAGCCCAAGAUCACAGAGUGAGCUUCUUGUGAUGCACAUCAGAAAGAUGAGAAGCAUCCUGGUCCUGGGGAAAAUUGUGGAGCUGCUAAAUCAGUCCUGGAAUCACCCACUUUCAAGCCUAUCAUUAGAAACUCGAGGCACAAUCAAGCUAAACACUAUAAAUCAGGACUAACCUGUGCACAAGAAAGGGAACUCAGACGUGGAAAGAAGCGCCAGUUACCAAGAUGACACGAAAGGCUAUAACUUCACGUCUUCCUGAGGAUUGACACUGAGCAAGCCCCAGGUUGGGUCAAUGUCAGGAGGAAGUGUGAACAGCACACACCUGCUGCUUCUAGUCCCCUAUGGAUUCGAGGUAAUGACUGGGUAUCCUCCAUUCUUCUCUCCUCUCCUCCUCUCCUCUCCCCUUCUCUUCUUUCCCCU